GUCUCUCCAUUCUCUUCGUGGCCACCACAGCCAUAAGCCUUUGUGUUAGCACAAUGCCAGACUUAAGAGCUGAAGAAGACAGGCUGACUAUGGAACCAAGCAAGGAUCUAAUUGAGGGCAGCUGAUCAGACAUCUAACACCGAGGGUGUGGUUGCCAGGAGGUUUGGGUUCAGGGCUCGAUCAGCCAUGGACUCACUCUGCAGUAAUGAUCAAGUUACUUUCCCCAUCUGUAAAAUGGAAACAACACUGAUGUACUCACGUGGCUGUUGUGACCAAAGUGCCCGAUGUAUGCUAAAUCAGUAAUGUUGUUAGCCUUUCUUGUAAGUACAGCACAGUAGAACCCGACCCUCCACAGGGUUAGAUUUUGCCAAGAUGAUAUAGAAAACUCUGCUGUUCUUAUACAUCCAAAAACAGCCCGGUUUUGCAUUUGAGAAUGCAAUGUAUUUGAGAUCCAAUUCAUAUGCCACAGAAAAACAUUUCUAUAAUCACACAGGUUGCCGACACUGAACCUCCAAAUAAAGUCAGUCACUUUGAGUGUGGGAAAAUUGGCUUUUCUUCAAAAUAAGAGUAAGUCCCCAUCCGCAUGCCUUCGUUACUCUUUCUUUUAGGUGGAGGUCAUUUAUAUAUACAAAUAAUUAAAUACACCUGCCCAAAGUGUAGAGUACAUAGGAGGAUAAUAGGUCUCUGCAGAAAAAAUGCCAGAAUUCAAUAUAAUUGAUCUAUCUGUGGAAUUUCUAAGGCACAUAACUCCUUAGUAUACGAGUGCCUUUUAUCUUGAUAAUUAAGUUGUCCCAGGCAUCCUACAUACUCCUACGGACUUCUAUUCGAGCCAGUCAUCGUUACAAAAGGCAGGUGGAAAUGGACACUAUUCAGAAGGUGUAAAUCAGGAUGGAAUGGAGACAAUAGGUCAAAUCUGAGACCUUAGUUCAAAUCUAGGGAAAAUGUCCUUCAUACAAUGUAUGACACAACCUUCAACUGCUAAUAGUCUAGACAGAUUCAGGUUUAAAUGUUCAGAAUCCCCAGAUUAUAUAUUUUAAGAAGAUCAUAUGGCGUUUGCGAUCUGCCAAAGAAUUUUCUUAUUCUGCCUUUGCUUCAGCAUUUUAUAAAAAAAAAAAAUCCAGCACUUUAUAGUGAGGUAGAGGCUAUACGUUAAUACAUUCUACUAGGGACAAAUUUUAAGCAGUGGAGGGUUAAUUGGUUAAUGAGAAGGUAAUGGUUCACAAUAGGCACAUCUACACAUGCCAAUUUAAGGCACAUUAGCCAUUUUAAGGCGCAUUAAGGGCGGAGUCUAUACGUGUGCACUCUUAAUGCACCUUAAAAAUGUCAAUUUUAGGCUAUUCGCACCUAAAUUUGAUACCUACAAAAGCAGGUAUCAAAUUUACGCACAAAUAGCUAAAGCGCCUUAAUGCACAUGUAGAUGCACUAUUGCGCAUUAACACUGUGUGUGUGAACUGACUUGGGACUAACUUGACUCCUGAGUCGCUCCACACACUGCAUUAUUGCGCCUUAGCGUGUGAACGUGUAGACACGCCAAAAUCGCCUUAAUGUGCAUUAGGCAAAUGCACAUUAAGUUUAGGCUCUCGUUAAAGCAUGUGUAGACCACCCAGUGGGUCUUAGAAAGCAAGUUUUCACCACACCAGUGAGUGCCUCCCAAUGCAGCCAAACAGACUGUAAGAUGCUCACUACAGGAACAGGUAUAAACCUGAUCUUGAAGGUAUGAUGAUAGCUCUCUGCCUUUCUUCCUCCAUUCAUCUAUACAGGAUUGCUGUAGAACUACAUUUUCUCCUGGUCUAGCAAACAUACCAAGCCAUGUUUUAUCUGCAGAUCAAGUCGAUGGGCUACUUAUUAAUUUCCCCAAAGGAAAUUCUGCUAUGUCUUCAUAGCCAGGGUGACAAUUAUCUAUGUGUGCAAAAAAAAUAUAUUAUUUCCAUUUGGUAAGAUUUAUGCCUGUGUUAAAUGGGAUAUCACAGCAUAAUUCUUAGAUCUGGCCUUGUUUAUGACCAUGGAUGUCAUUAACUACUAACUGAUGUGUCACUGUGAGCCAAGAGGGCAUGAGGCCAGGAAGUUCAUCUUAUUUUAUCUUGCAAGCAAUACUCAAGCCACAGUUCAUUAAGCACAGAAACUACUGGUAAUUAGAAGGAGCUAGGAGUCUACCUCUGGUGGCAGGUCCUUUGCUGAGCUGAGAUCCGCGAGACUGACCUGGCAUAGUCUCAGAGUAGCUGGAUUGGUGCAAUUUGAACAGGCGAGCGUUGCUGAGAGACUGACUGCAGUAGAAACAGCUUACUGGAGCUGCAAAGUUAUUGUAUAGCACACAUCCUGCACACACCAGCCCGACUGCACCUGUGGAAGCUUUUGUAAGGAGUGAGCAUGAAUAAGGCAGAACAUCCCACCACUAAUAGAUAUAUUUUCUAGCGAUGAGGUUUCCUGUUUUCCAGGCUGCGAUGUGACAAUUGAAGGGAACUGUGCAACGUGCAGCAAUCUUGGUGACUCUUUUAACCACUUACAGUCUGAGUAAAAAUAUCAAACUGAGGCAAAGACACCAUCAUAAGACUUCUAGAGAUGAUCAGGAUUUCUAAGCACCUGAGACCAAGGAAACAAUAUAGAAGCUGGGGUAUAAGGGCUGAAAAAUGAAAUAUUCUCCAAAUGAACCCAUAACCACAACGGUCAUUCCAGAGUUGGACUUAUUCAAGGAGUAUGGAUCCUAUCAAACAUGAUGAUGAGCUUCAUUUCUGCCUUUAUAGGUUUUAAGUAGGCUCACAUUCCUGGUAAUAUGAAUGAGCUAACAUCAGAGCAAUGUUUUCCCUCUUUUAUUAAUGGGUAAAAUGUGUGUAUUUUUGUGCAUGUGGGUAUUUUCCUUACCCCAAAACAAAAUGUCAUGGAUAGUGUGGUCCAAUGUCUUGAACAAAAGGUGGGAAUCCAUAGCUCUUGGAUGUGUCACACAGACUCUUGAUGUGCCCUUGGGUAACUCAUUUAAAUCUCUGUACAUCUCAUUUUUCCCAGUGUAGUGAAACAUUGAUUACUCCUAGGGCAAGAUUUGCAGGAAAUCUUGUCACCCAUAACCAAAACAAGACAGUUUCCACAACACGGUACAGAUAAUUAAUUAGAGUUCAGCAGUCUCAAGGGAUCCUUGUAAGUAAUUGGUACAGAAAGGCAUUUGCAAGGAGUGAAAGCUUAUUUUGUUUUAAAUGCAAUUAAAUACCACUGAUGCACUCUUUCCUGGCUCCACCUUUGGCCUUCUUCCCCACAAACUCCCAUCAUGCACAUUCCUGUAAGGACUAUACAUGUUCUUCUAUGUCCGAUCUUUAUUAUAUAUUACAGGUAUGCAUGGACUGAAUUAAACCAUUUCCAUAGUAACCAGUACAUCUGAUAAUAUAUACUGACGCAUAAUAAGUAAAACCUGUGGUUCUUAUAGUAUAUCAUGUUCAUAAAAAGGUACAUAUACUCUUAUUUCACAUAGGGUGGGUUCAAUAGGGGGGAGGGGGAUGUUAAGGCAACUUUUGUGUGUCACCGCUGUACCCUCUCAUACUUGCAGCUAUGCAUCUUCUUCGCACGGACCUGGAGGCUGGUAGAUGGGCCAGCCACUGAAUUACAUGCAUUUCCCCAGUACCGUGUGCUGUGGCCAGAUCUCUGCUGUGCCCCUGUGUUUCCAGUCCUGCGCACACAGUCCCAGGACCGUCGGGACUUCUACGUGCUAACAGUGCAGCCAUCCUCUACCCUGCCGGCUCUGAGGCUUCAGGCUAUUCUAACUCUCUUAGGAUCCGUAAAGGGAGUGGAGUCUCAGUCAUAAUUUCUCCGUAUUUCUUACCCGCAGCAUAACAAGUAGUGUCUUUGGGGGAAAAAAGUGGAAGUUUGAAGUGGGUAGCUUAAUUCCUUGAGAGGAUUCAUAUAUUCGGGAGCUUACCUGCGGAUACUUCAUCUCUCAUGCUUGGUAUACCUUAUUAUUAACAAGCUAGUGUUUCCCUUCAGCACUGAAUCCAUUUUUUCCCCAUAUAUGAUAGCAAAAUAGCAGCCAGGACAUAUUGUGCUUCCUAGGACUUCAGCAACAAACCGGAGGGAAGAUCCAUAAAUCCUGGCAACCAGGAAAUGACCCUUUCUUUGUCACCUAGGAGUAACUUUUUAUGCUGAGUAAAGUAUUCAGUGUAGAGUAUUUGUAAGUGCUCAGCAUCAGCCUAAAUUGGUUCCUGUUUCAGCCUAGAAUUGUACCCUAGACCAAAAUGGAGUUAGGCUAACUCUCAUACAUUUUUUUUAAAGUCCUACCCAAGAUGGUUUGCAGUUAUCACAUAGAUUGCACUGAUUUUUCAAAAGAGAAAAAUCUGGUACAGGGCAUGCUGAGUUGGAUAAGAGGGAUCUUGGUCAGGUAAACGAGGCAGUUUUAAUGAGUCAGAGUCCAAUCUGUCGUAAUACCUUCGAGAGAAGCUAACUCUGCUGGGAUCUUAGACCUUUCACUUCCAGAUUACUGCCCAGCUCAAAUCCACCUCAUGUCUGUACUUACUGAAAACCAGUAGCAUGACUGAUAAGAGGUCAGACUAAAUUUAAAAGCUAUUACAGACCGGAAGAGGUCCAUGGUUCCAAAUACAAAUGAGUACUUUGAGUAAGACCUGAGUCAAGGGCAAGAUUUAGCUUGGGGCGAUUAACUUCAUACCUUACCUGUCUGCCCCUUCCCGUACAGCAUCCUGCAGCAGUUUUCCUCCCCCAAAACAGACUUCGUUAGCAUGGGAAACUGCCAGCUGCUAAUUGCCGAACAAACAGAAACCAGUGGGCAGAACUGCCGGUAGGAGAGAAGUUGUUCUCAGUCCUGAAAUGGGGUCAGUGCUUUUUCUCAGGCUGCUCAGAACAGCGGGUCCCACUUGCCAGAGACCUUUCUCCACUUCUUGGCUAAUCUUUCCCACAUAAUUAACCACCACCUCAGCCCUUUUUCCUCUUAGGCAAGAACGACGUCUGGGGCUUUUGGUGCUGGGGUUUGAGGAAUGUGCUCUUGCUUCAUUGUAAAACGUGCAGCACAGAAAUUGCCUGAAUGCCACAAGGGAACUCACUGGUUCUUUAACAUCAAGAAACUCUGCAAAGAAUUAUAAUUUCAUGGAGGGAAAUUUGAAGUUACACAUAAGUAUUUGUUGGGGAGGGGUGUCUGGACUAACUUAGCCAUGGGUCUUGAACAGCUUGGCAAGUUCAGGACCAGAUGCCUAAGAAGGCAAUGCAAGAAACCCUGAAGUAACCUAUAUAUAGUCAUAGGAAAGGUAUUUUCCUUGCCCUUAUUAGCAAAAUGCUUGCUUAUGCCUGGAGGGUUAUAACUUUUUAAAAUCCUUGUUUAUUAUUAAAACCUUGUUUAUCAGAUCGUUGCCACGGUUCUAUGCAUUACACCGGGGAAACCGGGGAUGUAUCGUUAUUGCCACUGCGCUCGGUAACGGGCAUUUCGCCUACCUUGCACUACAGGAGAUUCAGAUCCGUCCGUGUUUUAUCACUAUAUAGUGCAGGACCGCUGGGACGUGUCAUUCUCGGUGCUCUCUUGGCAAGAAGCAUAAGCAGAAUAUGAAACACCCUCGAGGAUGUCAAUGCAAGGAGCUGAAAUUGCCCGUGGGCGAAUGUUCUCAGAAGUGCUAUUACAUCUUUGUCAUUGAGACCAUCUGUGUGGCUUGGUUCUCGCUGGAGUUCUGCCUACGAUU